GCAGAAUCCUUUCUGCACAAACUAGGAUACUUUGACAGUCAGUGUGCGGAAAUGCUUCUGCUC
rnacentral:pre_miRNA from 1 species